GCUGAUUGGCAUUCUGGGUCUGGCUCAUAUCAAGUCUGUUAUGAACUAUACCAGGAUGUCAGUAUAGCUG
rnacentral:pre_miRNA from 1 species